UUCGGGAAACCGGAGCUAAUACCGGAUAAUAUAUUGAACCGCAUGGUUCAAUAGUGAAGGACGGUUUUGCUGUCACUUAUAGAUGGAUCCGCGCCGCAUUAGCUAGUUGGUAAGGUAACGGCUUACCAAGGCAACGAUGCGUAGCCGACCUGAGAGGGUGAUCGGCCACACUGGAACUGAGACACGGUCCAG
rnacentral:rRNA from 1 species